AGAAUGUCGUUAUAUACAAAGUACACAGCUUUAUUGUCAUUAGACAAUACAAAGAUGUUUUCUCUAGAGCUUACUCUUGAAAGAGCGACAUACAGUUGGCCAUGUGAAAAACAGUCAACGCCAAAAUCUAAACCUUCAACGUUGAGGGUUUGACCCUCCGACCUUUACCGGAAACUGUAAACGUUCAAAUUGGAAGGGUAUAUCAGAUGGUAUCAGGGGGAUUCGGGGAAUCAAUACACUUUUCCAGUAACACAUCCUAAUGUCGUUAUAUACAAAGUACACAGCUUUAUUGUCAUUAGACAAUACAAAGAUGUUUUCUCUAGAGCUUACUCUUGAAAGAGCGACAUACAGUUGGCCAUGUGAAAAACAGUCAACGCCAAAAUCUAAACCUUCAACGUUGAGGGUUUGACCCUCCGACCUUUACCGGAAACUGUAAACGUUCAAAUUGGAAGGGUAUAUCAGAUGGUAUCAGGGGGAUUCGGGGAAUCAAUACACUUUUCCAGUAACACAUCCUAAUGUCGUUAUAUACAAAGUACACAGCUUUAUUGUCAUUAGACAAUACAAAGAUGUUUUCUCUAGAGCUUACUCUUGAAAGAGCGACAUACAGUUGGCCAUGUGAAAAACAGUCAACGCCAAAAUCUAAACCUUCAACGUUGAGGGUUUGACCCUCCGACCUUUACCGGAAACUGUAAACGUUCAAAUUGGAAGGGUAUAUCAGAUGGUAUCAGGGGGAUUCGGGGAAUCAAUACACUUUUCCAGUAACACAUCCUAAUGUCGUUAUAUACAAAGUACACAGCUUUAUUGUCAUUAGACAAUACAAAGAUGUUUUCUCUAGAGCUUACUCUUGAAAGAGCGACAUACAGUUGGCCAUGUGAAAAACAGUCAACGCCAAAAUCUAAACCUUCAACGUUGAGGGUUUGACCCUCCGACCUUUACCGGAAACUGUAAACGUUCAAAUUGGAAGGGUAUAUCAGAUGGUAUCAGGGGGAUUCGGGGAAUCAAUACACUUUUCCAGUAACACAUCCUGUGAGUACUGUGCACUCUAUUAUGAAAGUUUUCAGUGAUUUUACCAGCA